rnacentral:rRNA from 1 species
GUGCGUANAGAGCUCUGNUAUAGCGCGCUUGUCACGUCCGGUGUGAAGCCCGGGGCUUAACCCCGGGUCUGCAUUCCAUACGGGCUAACUAGAGUGUGGUAAGGGAGAUCGGAAUUCCUGGUGGAACGGUGAAAUGCGCAAAUAUCAGGAGGAACACCGGUGGCGAAGGCGGAUCUCUGGGCCAUUACUGACGCUGAAGAGCGAAAGCGUGGGGAGCGAACAGGAUUAAAUACCCUGGUAGUCCACGCCGUAAACGGUGGGAACUAAGUGUUGGCGACAUUCCACGUCGUCGGUGCCGCAGCUAACGCAUUAAGUUCCCCGCCUGGGGAGUACGGCCGCAAGGCUAAAACUCAAAUGGAUUGACGGA